rnacentral:lncRNA from 1 species
CAUGUUUUGUGCAUUCAUAUAUGUAAUAAAAUAAUAAUUUCAGUUAAUAAUAAUUUUUAAAACUUAUUAAAAAAAAUUAUGAUUCAGUUAAGGACCAGCCAGAAGGAGUGUUCUAAUUCAUGCUGGAAUUUCUCGACUUCAUUGAUGUUGCUGAUUUGCCAUUGCAUGAGCCAAGAUUUAAGAACUCAAAUCAUCAUACUGCUGUACAGCUUGGAUGUCUCAGAAGGACUCUGCAAUGGAAAGAUAAUUCUGAUUUAGUUCUGCAACAUCAUUAUCGAGACAAAGAUCAUCACUGGAGAAUAAUCUGGCCAAGAAGUACACAUUUCAUGAAUCGUUCUUGACUCAAGCAAAGGUCAACUUCAAUAUACAAUGCAAUGACAUCAAUUUCCUGUAAGAUCAGCAUUUGCUACCAUCAUGUACAAAGCCUCUCCUUUACUGAGCAAAGCUUUGUUUUCACACUAGUUUUAAAAAAGUCAGAAAAAUUUUUUUCUCUAAAACCUUGGAUAAUUG